AAGGGAGACCUAAUUCGGGUAUAAGACGAAAAAAGAGUAGUCGAAACCAAGAAUCAAUCCCAAAAGGUCGGAACGAGGUAUGUGGCUUUCAAACUAGGUUCUGGGUUCACACAAGACCUGAAUCAGGAACAAGGGCUAUUAGCUCAGGUGGUUAGAGCGCACCCCUGAUAAGGGUGAGGUCCCUGGUUCGAGUCCAGGAUGGCCCACCUGCACAGGUGGCAAAAACAAAGAAGCGAGGAAUCAGCACCUUAUCUUAUCUAUAUAUAAGAGAGGAUGCUGGCUCUGAGUAAAGAGUCCAGAGGAACCUUGAAAACUGCAUAGAGCUAGGUGAAAAAGCCAAAAAAGAAGACCGCAA
rnacentral:tRNA from 1 species